rnacentral:misc_RNA from 1 species
GGCCCCCUGCUGAUGAGCAGCCCGACCGCGCGGUGCAACGUACGUUCCAUUGUGGGGAUUUGGUUUUGUCCCGAAUGUUCCGUUGCUUGUGUGGCAUACCCUGACGAGGGUACGAGUCAGUGCCGUUGAUGGCCCAUUCGGCUUUUGCCCGGCUUUCAUGCUUGGCUUGCCGCUUCUGCUUGCGGCGUGGCGCACCGCCGUGGCACCUAGCAAAGAUUUUGCGGGUGACCGGAGGCUGUUGUGCCCGCCCAAUCUCGGUCCCUCUCGGGUGCGGUUGAUCUUGUGGUCAUUGGGUCCUCCUCGCAGGCGCCCUCUGUCCCGGACCCAAUGUGGUCGCCGGUCGGUUCGGAUGUCCUCGGCACGGCGUUGUGCUUCGGCCCCUCGUCGCUGCCGACACCGGUGCUGUGCUACCUGGUUGAUCCUGCCAGUAGUCAUAUGCUUGUCUCAAAGAUUAAGCCAUGCAUGUGCAUGUAUGAACAAAUUCGGACUGUGAA